rnacentral:lncRNA from 1 species
CUGAGUUUUUGCUUCUUGCAGUCAAGAGGAACAAGGAUUUUGUUCUUCCGUUGAUACCUGCUGGAAUUCACCACUCUAUGCUGAAUCAGUUCCUCCAGGUACUCUGGAAAACCCUACUUUCCAUAUGAAUCUAUGUAUGUAAGACACUCCUCUGGUUUUUCUCUGACACUGCAACCUGGAGACAAGUCAUUUCUCUAAUGAAGCCAUGCAAACAUCAUGUGUUCCUCCGUGGAAAGAAGUGAAGAAGGCCAGGAGCAACAGGACACAGAGCAAACUUAAGUUACAAAGUCCUAACCGGAAGCAAGCAGAGAUGCUGGAGCUGUCCUGGAGAAAGAUAGAGUCACAGAAUCAUAGAACCACCAAGGCUGGAAAAGAUCUCCAAGGUCCAACCCAGUCCAACCUCAACUCACCCCCACCACGCCCACUGACCAUGACCCCACAGUGUCACACCUCCACAUUUCUUG